AUUGAACGCUGGCGGCAGGCCUAACACAUGCAAGUCGAGCGGAGCGGCGGACGGGUGAGUAAUGCCUAGGAAUCUGCCUGGUAGUGGGGGAUAACGUCCGGAAACGGGCGCUAAUACCGCAUACUAUCAGAUGAGCCUAGGUCGGAUUAGCUAGUUGGUGGGGUAAAGGCUCACCAAGGCGACGGUCCCUAGCUGGUCUGAGAGGGAGAUCAGCCAGGAUGGAACUGAGACACGGUCGAGACUCCACCGGGAGACAGCAGUGGGGAAUAUUGCACAAAGGGGGAGACACUGAUGCGGAAGUGGCGCGUGUGUGACGAAGGCAUUCGGGUUGUAAAGCACUUUCAGCGAGGGGGCGUUACUCGCAGAAGAAGCACCGGCUAACUCCGUGCCAGCAGCCGCGGUAAUAC
rnacentral:rRNA from 1 species